rnacentral:rRNA from 1 species
GUGGGGAAUUUUGGACAAUGGGCGCAAGCCUGAUCCAGCCAUGCCGCGUGCAGGAUGAAGGCCUUCGGGUUGUAAACUGCUUUUGUACGGAACGAAAAGACUCUUUCUAAUAAAGAGGGUCCAUGACGGUACCGUAAGAAUAAGCACCGGCUAACUACGUGCCAGCAGCCGCGGUAAUACGUAGGGUGCGAGCGUUAAUCGGAAUUACUGGGCGUAAAGCGUGCGCAGGCGGUGAUGUAAGACAGAUGUGAAAUCCCCGGGCUCAACCUGGGAACUGCAUUUGUGACUGCAUCGCUGGAGUGCGGCAGAGGGGGAUGGAAUUCCGCGUGUAGCAGUGAAAUGCGUAGAUAUGCGGAGGAACACCGAUGGCGAAGGCAAUCCCCUGGGCCUGCACUGACGCUCAUGCACGAAAGCGUGGGGAGCAAACAGGAUUAGAUACCCGGGUAGUCC